UACGAGGGGGCUAGCGUUGUUCGGAAUUAUGCGUGGGCGUAAAGGGCGCGUAGGGCGGUGCCUACAAGUCAGGCCGUGAAAGCCCCGGGCUCAACCUGGGACCGCGCUUGAGACUGCGUAGCUAGGUGCGGAAGAGGGAAGCGGAAUUUCCGGUGUAGCGGUGAAAUGCGUAGAUAUCGGAAGGAACACCAGUGGCGAAAGCGGCUUCCUGGUCCAGCACCGACGUCAGGCACGAAAGCGU
rnacentral:rRNA from 1 species